rnacentral:tRNA from 1 species
GCGCCGGUAGUGUAAAGGCUAACAUCUCUGCCCGGGAAGCAGAAGGUGCGGGUUCGAGUCCCACCUGGCGCA